UAUUGUUGACGAAUCCACCUGCGAACACCGGAUUUUUAUCAAAAACCCUGAUAUUUUAAGCUAAAUUACUGUAUAAUUUGUGAAUUUUAAUUACUAUUCAGUACAAUUUUGCGCAGAACAAUGACGAAAUUGCUGGAGUGGAUAUCGGUGCUGUCAGCGUUCUUCGCCGUCUGGUACUCCCUGGUCGGGGGCUACGUGAAGCAUCCCUUCAUCGAGCAGAACUUCCACUUAAUAUUAGUCUCCCCAAUCAUUUUACUAAUGUUAUUCGGAAUCUACUCAGUAACGGUCAUCCUGUACCGAGUUCUAACGUUCAACAAUUGCGAGGAAGCGGCCAAGGAACUACAGGCUGAGAUUAAGGAAGCUAAGCAGGACUUGUAUGACCGAGGCCUGCGGUGGUGACUUGGAGGUAUUUAAAAAAGUUAAUCAUUCCAGUUCAAUUGUAAAUAUAGUAGAUAAUUAUGUUUUCUACAAAUAAAUGUAUGUAAGGCUGUAAGUUUGAAUAAAUAUUUUUAUUUAAGACCGUAA